GCAUCGGUGGUUCAGUGGUAGAAUUCUCGCCUGCCACGCGGGAGGCCCGGGUUCGAUUCCCAGCCGAUGCA
rnacentral:tRNA from 1 species